GAGUUUUAUCCUGGCUCAGGACGAACGCUGGCGGCGUGCUUAACACACGCAUGUCGAACGGAAAGGCCCUGCUUUUGAGGGGUGCACGAGUGGCGAACGGGUGAGUAACACGUGAGUAACCUGCCCUUGACUUUGGGAUAACUUCAGGAAACUGGGGCUAAUACCGGAUAGGAGCUCCUGCUGCAUGGUGGGGGUUGGAAAGUUUCGGCGGUUGGGGAUGGACUCUCGUCUUAUCAGCUUGUUGGUGGG
rnacentral:rRNA from 1 species